ACUCCUACGGGAGGCAGCAGUGGGGAAUAUUGCACAAUGGACGAAAGUCUGAUGCAGCAACGCCGCGUGGAGGAUGACACAUUUCGGUGCGUAAACUCCUUUUAUAUAGGAAGAUAAUGACGGUACUAUAUGAAUAAGCACCGGCUAACUCCGUGCCAGCAGCCGCGGUAAUAC
rnacentral:rRNA from 1 species